CUAAUCAUAUUAGCUGAAAAACAUCACACAUAAGAAUAUUGAGUUUAACUUAAGGAAUAGCUUAAGAGAUGCAAAAUAUUUUCUCCCGUCUUUUAACUUUAUCCACAUAGGAGAUGAUUCAUCAAAACAAUGGAGGAUGGACAUCGAAUGAUGUUUGGUAUUUAACAAAGAAAUACGGAGGACCAGUCGUAGUAGGGACAUGUGCAGUAGGUGCAAUACCUGUAUUACUUGGUGCAGCUGGCUUUACCGGGUAUGGUAUAGCAGCUGGGACAUUGGUACCUAAAGUUAUGGCUUGGUCAGCCGUUGCAAACGGUGGAGGCGUAGCCUCUGGUGGAAUUGUCGCCACACUUCAAUCUGCAGGAGCUGCUGGAUUAGGCCUUGGUACACUGUUGGUUGGAUUUACAGCUUUGUUUUCGGGAGUCGCUCAGAAAAGGACGUUAAUUGUAUAAACAAAUAAAAAUAAGAUUGAUAACCAGUGUUUAAAUAUAUAUUUUUUUAUUCAACCGAUUUCUUGAUACAUUGCUUUUUCAAGAAAGUGUCACACCUUCUUGAAAUGUAAACAAAUCUAAGAUCAAAAAAUAAAAGAAAUAAAAAAAUAUUUAAAAUA